rnacentral:misc_RNA from 1 species
CGACGCCUGAAGCGCAAGAGAAGAAAGACGAGAGCCCGCAGCAAAUAAACGCAUCGCCUUGAUCCAAUGAAAGCUCAAUCAACCACCGCAAACUGUACAACAUCAAGUCACGCGACCACGACACCAACUCGGCGCUGAAGGAAGGAACGACACCUGACGGCGUCUUGGGGAUGGGCGUACAAGGCAUUAUCACGACUGAGUGCGGAG